rnacentral:rRNA from 1 species
CAAUAGCGUAUAUUAAAGUUGUUGCAGUUAAAAAGCUCGUAGUUGGAUUUCUGGCAGGAGCGACCGGUCACACACUCUGUGUGUGAACUUGCGUUGUCUCUGGCCAUCCUUGGGAAGAUCCUGUUUGGCAUUAAGUUGUCGGGCAGGGGAUACCCAUCGUUUACUGUGAAAAAAUUAGAGUGUUUAAAGCAGGCUUAUGCCGUUGAAUAUAUUAGCACGGAAUAAUAAGAUAGGACUUCGGAACUAUUUUGUUGGUUUGCGUUACGAAGUAAUGAUUAAUAGGGACAGUUGGGGGUAUUCGUAUUUCAUUGUCAGAGGUGAAAUUCUUGGAUUUAUGAAGGACGAACUACAGCGAAAGCAUUUGCCAAGGAUGUUUUCAUUAA